GUAUAUAUAAUUUAAAUAAAAUACUAGACUGUGAUUCUAGAAAUGAAAGUGAAAUCCUUUUUAUAAACU
rnacentral:tRNA from 1 species